rnacentral:rRNA from 1 species
UACGAAGGGGGCUAGCGUUGCUCGGAAUCACUGGGCGUAAAGCGCACGUAGGCGGCUUUCUAAGUCAGGGGUGAAAUCCUGGAGCUCAACUCCAGAACUGCCUUUGAUACUGGAGAGCUUGAGUCCGGAAGAGGUGAGUGGAACUCCGAGUGUAGAGGUGAAAUUCGUAGAUAUUCGGAAGAACACCAGUGGCGAAGGCGGCUCACUGGUCCGGUACUGACGCUGAUGUGCGAAAGCUAGGGGAGCAAACGGG